rnacentral:rRNA from 1 species
UACGAAGGGGGCUAGCGUUGCCCGGAUUGACUGGGCGUAAAGGGCGCGUAGGCGGCGGACACAGUCAGACGUGAAAUUCCUGGGCUCAACCUGGGGGCUGCGUUUGAUACAUGUCUGCUUGAGUUCGGAAGAGGGUCGUGGAAUUCCCAGUGUAGAGGUGAAAUUCGUAGAUAUUGGGAAGAACACCGGUGGCGAAGGCGGCGACCUGGUCCGAUACUGACGCUGAGGCGCGAAAGCGUGGGGAGCAAACAGG